rnacentral:rRNA from 1 species
CGACAAAAUACUUGCAAAGGGAAAAACCAAAUUUUUUCAAUUCCCAAGGAACAAGGGUUGCAAGGCUGGAGCUUAAAGGAAUUGACGGAAGGGCACCACCAGGAGUGGAGCCUGUGGCUUAAUUUGACUCAACGCGGGGAAGCUCACGAGGCCCGGACACUGGAAGGAUUGACAGAUUGAGAGCUCUUUCUUGAUUCGGUGGGUGGUGGUGCAUGGCCGUUCUUAGUUGGUGGAGUGAUUUGUCUGGUUAAUUCCGAUAACGAACGAGACUCUGGCUUACUAAAUAGGCGGCGGAUCUUUGUAUCCGCUAUGUCUUCUUAGAGGGAUAAGGCAGCUCUAAGCUGCAUGAGAAGGGGCAAUAACAGGUCUGUGAUGCCCUUAGAUGUUCUCGGCCGCACACGCGCUACACUGAAAGAGGCAACGUGUUUGCCUGAUUCGAAAGAAUUGGGUAACCCCCUAAUCUCUUUCGUGCUGGGGAUUGAGGUUUGCAAUUAUCCUUCAUGAACGAGGAAUUCCCAGUAAGUGCGAGUCAUUAUCUCGCGCUGACUACGUCCCUGCCCUUUGUACACACCGCCCGUCGCUACUACCGAUUGAAUGAUUUAGUGAGGACUUCGGACUGAGUCCAAUGCGGCUUUCGGG